rnacentral:tRNA from 1 species
GCAGAGGUGGCGAAAUUGGUAGACGCGCCAGCUUCAGGUGCUGGUGGGGGAAACUCCGUGAAAGUUCGAGUCUUUUCCUCGGCACCA